rnacentral:rRNA from 1 species
UACAGAGGUGGCAAGCGUUGUUCGGAAUUACUGGGCGUAAAGGGCGCGUAGGCGGUCUUCUAAGUCUUGUGUGAAAUCCCUCGGCUCAACUGAGGAACUGCACGGGAUACUGGAAGACUUGAGUUCGGGAGAGGGAAGCGGAAUUCCGGGUGUAGCGGUGAAAUGCGCAGAUAUCAGGAAGAACACCCGUGGCGAAGGCGGCUCUCUGGGACGUGACUGACGCUGAGACGCGAAAGCGUGGGGAGCGAACAGG